UACGUAGGGUGCGAGCGUUGUCCGGAAUUAUUGGGCGUAAAGAGCUCGUAGGCGGUCUGUCGCGUCGGAUGUGAAACCCAGGGCUUAACCCUGGGCCUGCAUUCGAUACGGGCAGACUAGAGUUCGGUAGGGGAGACGUGGAAUUCCUGGUGUAGCGGGUGAAAUGACGCAGAUAUCAGGAGGAACACCGGUGGCGAAGGCGGGUCUCUGGGCCGAAAUGACGCUGAGGAGCGAAAGCGUGGGGAGCAAACAGG
rnacentral:rRNA from 1 species